AUCCCCAAUUCUUUUGUCAUGUUGUUCAAUCAUCCCUUCUUACGUACAUCCUCACGUUAAAAAAGCAAAAAAAUUAUUGAGGGGCAGACCAAAGCACACUGUAGGGACCAGGGAGCCAUUAUAACGAGAGGCCAGCACUCCAGUGGAAUUCGCAUUUCUUUGGAAGUUGUGUAGGAUUGUAGCGAAAAUAUCAGUCCCCAGUUUGGUCAGUUCUUCUUGCAAAGACUCACCGCUUGCGUUGUACUGCAAUAGGGUUUUCCUGAUGGAGAGCAAUAACUGUCCACAAGGUUGCCCGAGUUUCCAGUACUUCCCUCCUCCAUCGGCAAGGGACGUUCCGGUUUCUGUAUCUUUGGAACGCGAGAUUUCUGUGUGCCGGGAGACUUCGAGGUGGAUCACCGUCAGCGUGGUCAUCGUUGUUGCCGUCGUAGCCACCGGUGUUGUUAUAAAAAAAUCGCCGUGGUCCUCAGGAUAGAAUCCCAUGGAAGACUAAGAUUCCAACAAUAAGCCUAAUGCUGCAGCCAUCGCCGGGAAGGCGCCGAAGGAGGCGGAGGCAGAGCUGAAAAAGGUGGAAGCGAAGGAGUCGGAGGCGGAGCCGAAAAAGGCGGAGGCACAGCUGAAGGAGGCGCCACCGCUGUGCUGUCCAUGUUAUACGCCAUCGCUGCCGUGCUGUCCAUUUCAUCCAUGUUGUUGUCAUCAGAUAAAUAAUUUACCAUACAUGGUAAUUGAAUGAUGCAUAAUGAUAGAUCAUCUAUACUUAGCAUUGGCACUUCUAAGUCCUAUGAAUUGUAAUUUGAAUUUUCAAUCCAAUUGUGCAAUUGUCUUGGAGACGCCAAUAAUUUAUGAUAAAUAAAUUAGCAAUC